GAACCUUAAUAAGCAGAUGGUGCAGUAUCCUAGUUGGCAACCCUAUUUUCGAAGGCGGGCCUAAAAAUCCGCUAAAGGGCACAUCGAUGAAGUUCCUGGUGUCGGCUUUCGACGCCCAGUUGAGGGUCGGUGCUGGGAGUUAAGGUAGUAGGGAAAUCUACAAUGGCAUGUAGAUGCCCCCCUGCUUCCGUGGAGACCUAAAUAUGUGGUUUAUUUGACACAUGGGCAAAUAAGCUACGGUUUAGGUAGAACCUGUAUGCAGCGAAACUGUGUACAGUGUAGCCUGCCUUGAGUGGUAUUGGUGGAUAACUUAAAUAUGAGUGUUCUGCAAAGGGCCGGCCUCUGCUCGAAUACUCUGUUUGAAACCAAUACUGCAAAAGAGGCUAGAAAAUGGGAAAUGUCAUUGAGGAAAACUCCUAGGCUGUUCCCAUCUUAUGGGAAGAAGUUCGGGGAUUAAAGUGUGGUCUAAGUGGUAAUCUAGCACUGUCUUUGGUAACAAGAUAGAGAAAGAAUUAAAGGGAAACCGCCGAGAUGGCGACACUCGGUUUCUUUCUGGGAAAACCGGCUAGACCUUAAGCCACAGCGUUUACCCGAACUGCUACCAUCUGCGCAAGGUUUUUU
rnacentral:sRNA from 1 species